rnacentral:rRNA from 1 species
ACGAACGUUGGCGGCGUGGAUUAGGCAUGCAAGUCGAACGCGAAACGGGGGGCAACUCCCGGAGUAGAGUGGCGAAAGGGGCAGUAAGGCAUGGGUAACCUACCCUGGGGACUGGAAUAGCUAUCCCAACGGAUAGGUAAUACCGGGCGAUCUGACGAGGGGGCAUCCCUUUGUCAGCAAAUGAAUUUCGCCCUGGGAGGGGCUCAUGUAGUAUUAGCUAGUUGGUAAGGUAACGGCUUACCAAGGCAAAGAUGCUUAGCGGGUGUGAGAGCACGACCCGCGCCACUGGCACUGAGACACUGGCCAGACUCCUACGGGAGGCUGCAGUCGAGGAUCUUCGGCAAUGGGCGCAAGCCUGACCGAGCGACGCCGCGUGUGUGAUGAAGGCCUUCGGGUUGUAAAGCACUGUCGAGGGGGAGAAAAGCCCGCAAGGGCCUGAUCUAUCCCUGGAGGAAGCACGGGCUAAGUUCGU